GUGUGAAUAUGGUCUUCUAAUAUAAUCCUUUUAUCAUCAUAGUUGUUGAAAGUGAGUUUAUUUGCAGAUAUGGUGUUUAGUUGAUGGUGGAACAAGCGAAUAGAAACAUUCUCUCUAUACACAUCCAAGUCAUUGUCCCCAAACAGGCACUUCUUGUGAUCGUUAAAUGUCAUAUGAUUUUGAUCUUUUCUUUACGAUCAAUCUUAUAAGCAUACAAUUUGGCAUGUAAUGCACAAAACUCUGUGAUUGUUUUUCAUCCGACUCAUCUGAGAAAAUACCUGGUAUUUUCUUCCUCUCUGCAACAAAGCACAGGUGGUCUUUCGAUAGAUUGGCAGUGUCCGUACACUUCAACAGCUGGGUUAUUUCAACAGGUUCGCGUAAAAAUCUUUCAUCUUAAUAUAAUAUACCAACGAAUC